rnacentral:rRNA from 1 species
CAUCAGCCACGGUAAUACAGAGGGUGCGAGCGUUAAUCGGAUUUACUGGGCGUAAAGCGUGCGUAGGCGGCUUCUUAAGUCGGAUGUGAAAUCCCUGAGCUUAACUUAGGAAUUGCAUUCGAUACUGGGAAGCUAGAGUAUGGGAGAGGAUGGUAGAAUUCCAGGUGUAGCGGUGAAAUGCGUAGAGAUCUGGAGGAAUACCGAUGGCGAAGGCAGCCAUCUGGCCUAAUACUGACGCUGAGGUACGAAAGCAUGGGGAGCAAACAGGAUUAGAUACCCCAGUAGUCCCUGUCUCUUAUAA